AGUACAGACGAGUUUGAUCCUGGCUCAGGAUGAACGCUAGCGGCAGGCUUAACACAUGCAAGUCGAGGGGUAACAGGGAAGCUUGCUUCCGCUGACGACCGGCGCACGGGUGCGUAACACGUAUGGAAUCUGCCCUUUACUGGGGAUCAGCCCGGAGAAAUCCGGAUUAAUGCCCCAUAAUAAACGAGAUGGCAUCAUCUUGUUUUGAAAGCUCCGGCGGUAAAGGAUGACCAUGCGCCCGAUUAGUUUGUUGGUGAGGUAACGGCUCACCAAGACUACGAUCGGUAGGGGGCCUGAGAGGGUUAUCCCCCCACACUGGUACUGAGACACGGACCAGACUCCUACGGGAGGCAGCAGUGAGGAAUAUUGCGCAAUGGAGGCAACUCUGACGCAGCCAUGCCGCGUGCAGGAAGAAGGCGCUACGCGUUGUAAACUGCUUUUAAUCGGAAAGAAACCCCGGGACGUGUCCCGGGUUGACGGUACCGAUGGAAUAAGCACCGGCUAACUUCGUG
rnacentral:rRNA from 1 species